UAAUACAGAGGGUGCAAGCGUUGUUCGGAAUUAUUGGGCGUAAAGCGCGUGUAGGCGGCUCAGUAAGUCAGGUGUGAAAGCCCUCGGCUUAACCGAGGAAGUGCGCCUGAAACUGUUGAGCUUGAGUGCCGGAGAGGGUGGCGGAAUUCCCGGUGUAGAGGUGAAAUUCGUAGAUAUCGGGAGGAACACCAGCGGCGAAGGCGGCCACCUGGACGGUUACUGACGCUGAGACGCGAAAGCGUGGGGAGCAAACAGG
rnacentral:rRNA from 1 species